GUUGAACGCUGGCGGCAUGCCUUACACAUGCAAGUCGAACGGCAGCAUGAUCUAGCUUGCUAGAUUGAUGGCGAGUGGCGAACGGGUGAGUAAUACAUCGGAACGUGCCCUGUAGUGGGGGAUAACUAGUCGAAAGAUUAGCUAAUACCGCAUACGACCUGAGGGUGAAAGGGGGGGACCGCAAGGCCUCAUGCUAUAGGAGCGGCCGAUGUCUGAUUAGCUAGUUGGUGAGGUAAAGGCUCACCAAGGCGACGAUCAGUAGCUGGUCUGAGAGGGCGAUCAGCGACACUGGGACUGAGACACGGCCCAGACUCCUACGGGAGGCAGCAGUGGGGAAUUUUGGACAAUGGGCGAAAGCCUGAUCCAGCAAUGCCGCGUGUGUGAAGAAGGCCUUCGGGUUGUAAAGCACUUUUGUCCGGAAAGAAAUGGCUCUGGUUAAUACCUGGGGUCGAUGACGGUACCGGAAGAAUAAGGACCGGCUAACUACGUG
rnacentral:rRNA from 1 species